AGCAGCGUGGCGCAGCGGAAGCGUGCUGGGCCCAUAACCCAGAGGUCGGUGGAUGGAAGCCGCACACUGCUA
rnacentral:tRNA from 1 species